rnacentral:misc_RNA from 1 species
GUAGGUGAACCUGCGGAAGGAUCAUUAAUCCAGGCGUUAGCCCUCCCUCGGGGGGGUGAGCGCCGCCUUUAUACCCACCCUUUGCCUAUGUGUACCCCUAUCGCUUCCUCGGCAGGCUUGCCUGCCGCCAGGAACCAACCAAACCCUUUGCAUUAUACAUGAAAACUUCUGAUACAAACCUAAAUUAUUACAACUUUUAACAAUGGAUCUCUUGGUUCUG